rnacentral:rRNA from 1 species
GCUGGGUUUAGAACGUCGUGAGACAGUUCGGUCCCUAUCUGCCGUGGGCGCUGGAGAACUGAGGGGGGCUGCUCCUAGUACGAGAGGACCGGAGUGGACGCAUCACUGGUGUUCGGGUUGUCAUGCCAAUGGCACUGCCCGGUAGCUAAAUGCGGAAGAGAUAAGUGCUGAAAGCAUCUAAGCACGAAACUUGCCCCGAGAUGAGUUCUCCCUGACUCCUUGAGAGUCCUGAAGGAACGUUGAAGACGACGACGUUGAUAGGCCGGGUGUGUAAGCGCAGCGAUGCGUUGAGCUAACCGGUACUAAUGAACCGUGAGGCUUAACCUUACAACGCCGAAGCUGUU